rnacentral:rRNA from 1 species
AGAGUUUGAUCCUGGCUCAGGACGAACGCUGGCGGCGUGCUUAACACAUGCAAGUCGAGCGGAAAGGCCCUUUCGGGGGUACUCGAGCGGCGAACGGGUGAGUAACACGUGAGUAACCUGCCUCUGACUUUGGGAUAACCCUCGGAAACGGGGGCUAAUACCGGGUAUGACUUCUGCCGGCAUCGGUGGGGGUGGAAAGUUUUUGCGGUCAGGGAUGGGCUCGCGGCCUAUCAGCUUGUUGGUGGGGUGAUGGCCUACCAAGACGACGACGGGUAGCCGGCCUGAGAGGGCGACCGGCCACACUGGGACUGAGACACGGCCCAGACUCCUACGGGAGGCAGCAGUGGGGAAUAUUGCACAAUGGGCGGAAGCCUGAUGCAGCGACGCCGCGUGAGGGAUGACGGCCUUCGGGUUGUAAACCUCUUUCGACAGGGACGAAGCGUGAGUGACGGUACCUUAGAAGAGCCCCC